UACGAGGGGGGCGAGCGUUGUUCGGAAUUAUUGGGCGUAAAGGGUGCGUAGGCGGUUUGGUAAGUCUGAUGUGAAAUCUAUGGGCUCAACUCAUAGUCUGCAUCGGAAACUGCCGGGCUUGAGUGUGGGAGAGGUGAGUGGAAUUCCUGGUGUAGCGGUGAAAUGCGUAGAUAUCAGGAGGAACACCUGUGGCGAAAGCGGCUCACUGGACCAUAACUGACGCUGAGGCACGAAAGCGUGGGGAGCGAACAGG
rnacentral:rRNA from 1 species